UACGUAGGCAGCAACCGUUGUUCGGAGUUACUGGGCGUAAAGAGUACGUAGGCGGGUUGCCAAGUUUGGUGUGAAAUCUCCUGGCUUAACUGGGAGGGUGCGCCGAAUACUGGCGGGCUUGAGUAUUGGAGAGGAAAGCGGAAUUCCUGGUGUAGCGGUGAAAUGCGUAGAUAUCAGGAGGAACACCGGUGGUGUAGACGGCUUUCUGGACAAUCACUGACGCUGAGGUACGAAAGCGUGGGUAGCAAACAGG
rnacentral:rRNA from 1 species